UACGUAGGGUGCAAGCGUUAAUCGGAAUUACUGGGCGUAAAGCGUGCGCAGGCGGCUUUGCAAGACAGAUGUGAAAUCCCCGGGCUUAACCUGGGAACUGCAUUUGUGACUGCAUGGCUGGAGUGCGGCAGAGGGGGAUGGAAUUCCGCGUGUAGCAGUGAAAUGCGUAGAUAUGCGGAAGAACACCGAUGGCGAAGGCAAUCCCCUGGGCCUGCACUGACGCUCAUGCACGAAAGCGUGGGGAGCAAACAGG
rnacentral:rRNA from 1 species